UACGAAGGGGGCUAGCGUUGUUCGGAAUCACUGGGCGUAAAGCGCACGUAGGCGGAUUGUUAAGUCGGGGGUGAAAUCCUGAGGCCCAACCUCAGAACUGCCUUCGAUACUGGCAAUCUCGAGUUCGGAAGAGGUUGGUGGAACAGCUAGUGUAGAGGUGAAAUUCGUAGAUAUUAGCUAGAACACCAGUGGCGAAGGCGGCUCACUGGCCCGGUACUGACGCUGAGGUGCGAAAGCGUGGGGAGCAAACAGG
rnacentral:rRNA from 1 species